CCUACGGGAGGCAGCAGUAGGGAAUCUUCCACAAUGGACGAAAGUCUGAUGGAGCAACGCCGCGUGAAUGAAGAAGGCCUUCGGGUCGUAAAAUUCUGUUGUCAGAGAAGAACGUGCGUGAGAGUAACUGUUCACGUUAUUGACGGUAUCUGACCAGAAAGCCACGGCUAACUACGUGCC
rnacentral:rRNA from 1 species